GGUUAAGUGACUAAGCGUACACGGUGGAUGCCCUGGCAGUCAGAGGCGAUGAAGGACGUGCUAAUCUGCGAAAAGCGUCGGUAAGGUGAUAUGAACCGUUAUAACCGGCGAUGUCCGAAUGGGGAAACCCAGUGCAAUUCGUUGCACUAUCGUUAACUGAAUACAUAGGUUAACGAGGCGAACCGGGGGAACUGAAACAUCUAAGUACCCCGAGGAAAAGAAAUCAACCGAGAUUCCCCCAGUAGCGGCGAGCGAACGGGGAGCAGCCCAGAGUCUGAAUCAGCUUGUGUGUUAGUGGAACGGUCUGGAAAGUCCGACGGUACAGGGUGAUAGUCCCGUACACCAAAAUGCACAGGUUGUGAACUCGAAGAGUAGGGCGGGACACGUGGUAUCCUGUCUGAAUAUGGGGGGACCAUCCUCCAAGGCUAAAUACUCCUGACUGACCGAUAGUGAACCAGUACCGUGAGGGAAAGGCGAAAAGAACCCCGGCGAGGGGAGUGAAAAAGAACCUGAAACCGUGUACGUACAAGCAGUGGGAGCACCUUCGGGUGUGACUGCGUACCUUUUGUAUAAUGGGUCAGCGACUUAUAUUCUGUAGCAAGGUUAACCGUAUAGGGGAGCCGCAGGGAAACCGAGUCUUAACUGGGCGUUAAGUUGCAGGGUAUAGACCCGAAACCCGGUGAUCUAGCCAUGGGCAGGUUGAAGGUUGGGUAACACUAACUGGAGGACCGAACCGACUAAUGUUGAAAAAUUAGCGGAUGACUUGUGGCUGGGGGUGAAAGGCCAAUCAAACCGGGAGAUAGCUGGUUCUCCCCGAAAGCUAUUUAGGUAGCGCCUCGUGAACUCAUCUUCGGGGGUAGAGCACUGUUUCGGCUAGGGGGUCAUCCCGACUUACCAACCCGAUGCAAACUACGAAUACCGAAGAAUGUUAUCACGGGAGACACACGGCGGGUGCUAACGUCCGUCGUGAAGAGGGAAACAACCCAGACCGCCAGCUAAGGUCCCAAAGUCAUGGUUAAGUGGGAAACGAUGUGGGAAGGCACAGACAGCCAGGAUGUUGGCUUAGAAGCAGCCAUCAUUUAAAGAAAGCGUAAUAGCUCACUGGUCGAGUCGGCCUGCGCGGAAGAUGUAACGGGGCUAAACCAUGCACCGAAGCUGCGGCAGCGACACUAUGUGUUGUUGGGUAGGGGAGCGUUCUGUAAGCCUGCGAAGGUGUGCUGUGAGGCAUGCUGGAGGUAUCAGAAGUGCGAAUGCUGACAUAAGUAACGAUAAAGCGGGUGAAAAGCCCGCUCGCCGGAAGACCAAGGGUUCCUGUCCAACGUUAAUCGGGGCAGGGUGAGUCGACCCCUAAGGCGAGGCCGAAAGGCGUAGUCGAUGGGAAACAGGUUAAUAUUCCUGUACUUGGUGUUACUGCGAAGGGGGGACGGAGAAGGCUAUGUUAGCCGGGCGACGGUUGUCCCGGUUUAAGCAUGUAGGCUGGUUGUCCAGGCAAAUCCGGAUAAUCAAGGCUGAGGUGUGAUGACGAGGCACUACGGUGCUGAAGUAACAAAUGCCCUGCUUCCAGGAAAAGCCUCUAAGCAUCAGGUAACAUUAAAUCGUACCCCAAACCGACACAGGUGGUCAGGUAGAGAAUACCAAGGCGCUUGAGAGAACUCGGGUGAAGGAACUAGGCAAAAUGGUGCCGUAACUUCGGGAGAAGGCACGCUGGUGUGUAGGUGAAGUCCCUGCGGAUGGAGCUGAGACCAGUCGAAGAUACCAGCUGGCUGCAACUGUUUAUUAAAAACACAGCACUGUGCAAACACGAAAGUGGACGUAUACGGUGUGACGCCUGCCCGGUGCCGGAAGGUUAAUUGAUGGGGUUAUCCGUAAGGAGAAGCUCUUGAUCGAAGCCCCGGUAAACGGCGGCCGUAACUAUAACGGUCCUAAGGUAGCGAAAUUCCUUGUCGGGUAAGUUCCGACCUGCACGAAUGGCGUAAUGAUGGCCAGGCUGUCUCCACCCGAGACUCAGUGAAAUUGAACUCGCUGUGAAGAUGCAGUGUACCCGCGGCAAGACGGAAAGACCCCGUGAACCUUUACUAUAGCUUGACACUGAACAUUGAGCCUUGAUGUGUAGGAUAGGUGGGAGGCUUUGAAGCGUGGACGCCAGUCUGCGUGGAGCCAACCUUGAAAUACCACCCUUUAAUGUUUGAUGUUCUAACGUUGGCCCCUUACCGGGGUUGCGGACAGUGUCUGGUGGGUAGUUUGACUGGGGCGGUCUCCUCCCAAAGCGUAACGGAGGAGCACGAAGGUUAGCUAAUCCUGGUCGGACAUCAGGAGGUUAGUGCAAUGGCAUAAGCUAGCUUGACUGCGAGCGUGACGGCGCGAGCAGGUGCGAAAGCAGGUCAUAGUGAUCCGGUGGUUCUGAAUGGAAGGGCCAUCGCUCAACGGAUAAAAGGUACUCCGGGGAUAACAGGCUGAUACCGCCCAAGAGUUCAUAUCGACGGCGGUGUUUGGCACCUCGAUGUCGGCUCAUCACAUCCUGGGGCUGAAGUAGGUCCCAAGGGUAUGGCUGUUCGCCAUUUAAAGUGGUACGCGAGCUGGGUUUAGAACGUCGUGAGACAGUUCGGUCCCUAUCUGCCGUGGGCGCUGGAGAAUUGAGGGGGGCUGCUCCUAGUACGAGAGGACCGGAGUGGACGCAUCACUGGUGUUCGGGUUGUCAUGCCAAUGGCACUGCCCGGUAGCUAAAUGCGGAAGAGAUAAGUGCUGAAAGCAUCUAAGCACGAAACUUGCCCCGAGAUGAGUUCUCCCUGAGACUUUAAGUCUCCUGAAGGAACGUUGAAGACGACGACGUUGAUAGGCCGGGUGUGUAAGCGCAGCGAUGCGUUGAGCUAACCGGUACUAAUGAACCGUGAGGCUUAACCUU
rnacentral:rRNA from 1 species